rnacentral:rRNA from 1 species
GAUUGCAGGCUGCAACUCGCCUGCAUGAAGUCGGAAUUGCUAGUAAUCGCAGAUCAGCAUGCUGCGGUGAAUACGUUCUCGGGCCUUGUACACACCGCCCGUCACACCAUGGGAGUCGGUAACACCCGAAGUCUGUAGCCUGACGCAAGAGGGCGCAGCCGAAGGUGGGAUUGAUGACUGGGGUGAAGUCGUAACAAGGUACC